ACUUUACUAGUAGAAAACCUUGUGCCUUGCUGAAUCGUUACCCACCUUUGUCAACCACCAUCGCCAUGACGACGUGAGAGAAAAAAGAGAGCAUCCACCAUACCAAGAACUAAGGGAGCACCUUCGCAUACAAGGAUGCUUUUCGAGCCGAUGAACCGGACCGCAGCAAGCGACGAGACCGAGGAUUUAUGGCACGUUGGCCGGGGUUCAUCCAUGUGUCCAUUAGAUCUCGGCGCCAUCAACUUCAUCCAACACGGUUAAAGAAGCGAAACGUCGUUGUCUGCCGCCAUCCACGCAUCCCACUGCAAGACCCCAAAAACAACUACACAGGCCGAGCUCGCGAUCGUCGAAGGAGACACCGAGCACCAACCAACAACACUUACACUCGCUAGAUUCGAAGACCACCGAGAAGAUCUGGCUACCUGCUCCUCGACGCCGUCAGUGGAC
rnacentral:lncRNA from 1 species